ensembl:lncRNA
UGCUACGCCAUCUUGGUUAAGUGAUCAGAACUCAUACUCUGAGGUGCUUUGUGGACAGAGGUGAGCUUGCUGCUCACUCUAACCUGUUCAGUUGUGAAGAGCCAGUUUACAAUCCCCCUGGCCUGUCUAGUGGGGGAGGGGAGCCUACUGAAGGAGUAAGAAAUGUACAGUUCUUGUCUCUAAGAGAGGGCGGUAACAUGAUGUGCUAAAAGUCACCAGCAAGGAAUUUGUAACAAAGUUUGCUUUUACAUUACAGUAAUGUAUUAUUGUAAAAUUAGUCAACCGUAAUGAUGUGUAUCUUACAGCAAUAUUUACCCUUUAUAUUCCUUCAUUGUAUUCCCCACAGAGAAGAUGAUGAUGUUUGGGAGCAAACCACCCCCAGCUAGUGCACCCGCCGGUCUUCACCCUCCUCUGCCAGAUCCACAACCCCUGGAUCGGAUCCCGAAGGUUGCUGGAUCGGAUCCCCAAGCUGACAAGGACCUGAGCCCUAGGACCAUGCCCCAGGACUACCUGACAUGAUGACUCCUUGCUGUCCCCAGUCCACCUGGCCGUGCUGCUGCUCCAGUUUCAACUGUUCUGCCUUAUUAUUAUACGACCAUGCUGGUCAUUUAUGAACAUUUGAACAUCUUGGCCAUGUUCUGUUAUAAUCUCCACCCGGCACAGCCAGAAGAGGACUGGCCACCCCACAUAGCCUGGUUCCUCUCUAGGUUUCUUCCUAGGUUUUGGCCUUUCUAGGGAGUUUUUCCUAGCCACCGUGCUUCUACACCUGCAUUGCUUGCUGUUUGGGGUUUUAGGCUGGGUUUCUGUACAGCACUUUGAGAUAUCAGCUGAUGUAUGAAGGGCUAUAUAAAUAAUUUUGAUUUGAUUUGAUUUGAAUGGUGUUUAACAUGAUUUUUGAAUGACUACCCCAUCUCUGUACCCCACACAUACAAUUAAGGUCCCUCAGGCGAGCAGUGAAUUUUGAACACAGAUUCAACCACAAAGACCAGGGAGGCUUUUCAUUGAUAGAUGGGUAAAAAAAUCAGACAUUGAAUAUCCCUUUGAGCAUGGCGAAGUUACUAAUUACCCUGGAUGGUGUGUCAAUACAUCCAGUUACUACAAAGAUACAAGCGUCCUUCCUAACUCAUUUGCUGGAGAGGAAGGAAACCGCUCAGGGAUUUCACCAUGAGGCCAAUGGUGACUUCAAAACAGUUACGGAAUUGAAUGACUGUGAUAGGAAAAACUGAGGCUGGAUCCACAACAUUGUAGUUACUCCAAAAUACUAACCUAAUUGACAGAGUGAAAAAACAGAAUAAAAAUAUUCCAAAACAUGCAUCCAGUUUGCAACAAAGCACUAAAGUAACUCAAAACAUGUGACAAAGCAAUUCACUUUUUGUCCUGAAUACAAGGUGUCAUGUUCGGGGCAAAUCCAAUACUACACAUUACUAAGUACCACUCUCCAUAUUUUCAAGCAUAGUGGUGUCUGCAUUAUGUUAUGGGUAUGCUUGUAAUCGUUAAGGUGUGAAUGUGUAUGCUGUGUACAAAGAAAUACAAAAGAACGUUGUCAAAUCAAUCUUGAACUCCCAUGUUCAGGGCCAUGCCUAUAGAGUACCACAGUAUGAGUCACAAUACCCAUAAAACCUAGCGGUCAAAGAAGGAAAUGCUUCCAAUCGUUUUUCCACCAUUAAAUUUUCCCAUUUGGGGAUUUUAGAAACACUUAAAAUAAGGUCUGUGUUUCGUGUAGCCUUACUCUGGCGUGACGUUUUGAUAAACGUGAAAAAUCUCUCUAGGACACGCUGACUUUUAUCAAUAUAUUUGCCUGAUUUUACUAUUUUGAGGAAGCAUAUACAGGCUACGGCAUCUCAAAAUGGUGAAACUGUACUAUUGACCAUUUUUUUGCAUUUUCCAAUGUAUUUUAAGGUAGUAUGCAAGCACAAUCGUUCUGUUCGCCUAGCCGAGUUCGGCAAGAUGCCAGCCGAACUAAAGCAUGCUGACGCCUUUACACAUUCUAUAACCAUCCCAGAGCCAGUGUCUGCUGGGAUAUUAUUCACCACUACUGCUACACUGGCAGUGGACUGGGUAGUGGUUCUAGCUGGUUGAAAUAUGUCAUACCCUGAUCUGUUUCACCUGUCUUUGUGCUUGUCUCCACCCCCCUCUAGGUGUCGCACAUCUUCCCCGUUAUCCCAUGUGUAUUUAUACCUGUGUUCUCUGUUUGUUUCCAGAUUGUUUUGUUUGUGAAACCUACCACGGUUUGUUCCCCUGCUCCUGCCAGUUUUUUGCUCCUGUUUUCUAGUCCUUCCCAGUAUUGACCCCUGCCCUCCCUUACCCUAAAACUGCCUACCGUUCUGAACCCUUUGCACCAUCUCUGGAUUAUUGACCCCUGCCUGCAUUGACCUGUCGUUUGCCUGCCCCUGUUUUAGGAAUAAACUUUUAUUUUGUUGACACUGUCUGCAUCUGGGGUCAUACCUUAAAUGUGACAGAAAUACAUAUAAUUUACUAGCCUAAACAAUAUAAUACUGACAAAAGCACAUAUCCCAGCAUACAACAGGUAGCAGAUGGACUAACAAUUUUUGGAGGGAGAACGACUGUGAGAAGCUCAGUUCUGGUGACUUAUUAA